rnacentral:rRNA from 1 species
UACAGAGGGGGCAAGCGUUGUUCGGAAUUACUGGGCGUAAAGGGCGCGUAGGCGGCCUGUUAAGUCGAACGUGAAAUCCCUGGGCUCAACCCAGGAACUGCGUCCGAGACUGGCAGGCUUGAAUCCGGGAGAGGGAUGUGGAAUUCCAGGUGUAGCGGUGAAAUGCGUAGAUAUCUGGAGGAACACCGGUGGCGAAGGCGGGUCUCUGGGCCGAUACUGACGCUGAGGAGCGAAAGCGUGGGGAGCGAACAGG